rnacentral:lncRNA from 1 species
UUACAAAAAAAAAUAUAAAUAUAAAAAUUAAAUUUCUCAAAAAAAAUAAAUAAAAAUAUACAUGCCCUUUAAAUGCCUUUUAAAGGACGGAUCAAAAUCUAGUUGAUAUUAAAGGAAACCUAACUUUAAUUAAUCAACAUCUCUUUCUAGAGAUAACAAAAAGAAAGUUUAAUCAAUCAUAUAAAAUCCCAGAUUUGGUUUGAAUGUAGAUAGCAUUGCAAUUAUUAGGCGUUAUGUUAUGUGAUUGUUUUUUUUUUUUGGAACUGAAAUGUUAUGUGAUUGUUUCAUUAAACUAUACCUUACCCGCUC